rnacentral:lncRNA from 1 species
CUUCUUUUUUUAUUUUUUUUCUCUUCAUUUUUUUUUCAUAUAAUUAUUAUCCUAAUUUAUUUUUCAUUAUCUCAAUAUAUGUAAAAGUUUUUUGUUUUAGUAUGAAAUGUUUUUAAUAGAACGGAAUUUUUAUAAUUUUAUAUUUGAAAUUUUGUUAAAUAAUUUUCUUAAGUAGGUUCUCUUUGGUUUCAAUUUUGAAAAUUUGAAAAUCUU